rnacentral:lncRNA from 1 species
GAUGUAGGGGCGGCAUAGGUGUCCAUCCGUGUCCCAGACUGUACAGAACCAGAGGAAGCCUGGGGAUGAAGAGGGAUCAUGGAUGUUGCCAGUCAUAGAUGGCUACAAGGAGGGACAGGUGGGCACUGUGGGGUGGGGAGAGAAACAAUGAGAAUCCAGAAAGGCCAUAGAAAAGCCAUGUCCCAAAAUGAAGUCAGGCCAAAUCACUAGGUCUUGGUCAUGAGGCUGAGAAGAUCAAGCCUGUAGCCAGAGGAGAAUGAGGCACAGAUGGGUUAAAAAAAAGUCCCAAUGUCAGGGGAUCAUCUAUUGGAAAGAAUUCAAAGCACAAACACUGAUCUGCACAAGAUUACCACAAGCACAAUCUUGGUCAAUGUAAACUGCGUUUAUUUAAAAAUGAAUUUGUACCAGCUCUGAAAAAAAAAAGAACUAAAACAGAAAUGAAUUUGUAAAAGCAGUAUUAAUGGCUUAGGAGUCAGUGGCCACUUCUGGUUUUCCUUUUGACACUAUCUGAAACACAAAAAAUCACAGUUGAGCUAGUUCCUUCCAAAGGAAAGGGCAGUCCCAGAGAAGUUGGGUGACACGACCAUGCCAAGUGUAGUAGCCUGUAUGCCUAGAAAUGGAUCUGCUGGUGGGCUAGACAUGCCCCAAAGUGUCCUUCCUGUGUGCUGUUCUGAUGACGUAUACCUGAAGGAAGACAUGGUUAAAAACUAAACUUCAAAAAUAAAUAAAAACCCAACCUAAUCCUGCAGUAUAUUUAACUUGAAGUUUUGGAUGGUGUUUUUGAAGAUAAAAUUGUGUGGGUUAUUAUAUGUAAAUCAGUAUUUAUGAAUAAGUAAAAGUGUAUGUAGACUAGUUUUGUUUACCUGGUUAAAUGUUUUUGGGAUGUGUUUAUCUGUGUAAAUUGUCAGUUUGC